GAGGAAGGUGUUAAGGUUAAUAACCUUAGCAAUUGACGUUAGCGACAGAAGAAGCACCGGCUAACUCCGUGCCAGCAGCCGCGGUAAUACGGAGGGUGCGAGCGUUAAUCGGAAUUACUGGGCGUAAAGGGCACGCAGGCGGUUAAUUAAGUUGGAUGUGAAAUCCCCGGGCUUAACCUGGGAAUGGCAUUCAAGACUGGUUAGCUAGAGUCUUGUAGAGGGGGGUAGAAUUCCAUGUGUAGCGGUGAAAUGCGUAGAGAUGUGGAGGAAUACCGGUGGCGAAGGCGGCCCCCUGGACAAAGACUGACGCUCAUGUGCGAAAGCGUGGGGAGCAAACAGGAUUAGAUACCCUGGUAGUCCACGCUGUAAACGAUGUCGAUUUGGAGGUUGUGGUCAAGAACUGUGGCCUCCGGAGCUAACGCGUUAAAUCGACCGCCUGGGGAGUACGGCCGCAAGGUUAAAACUCAAAUGAAUUGACGGGGGCCCGCACAAGCGGUGGAGCAUGUGGUUUAAUUCGAUGCAACGCGAAGAACCUUACCUACUCUUGACAUCCAGCGAAUCCUUUAGAGAUAUAAGCAUGCCUUAGGGAGCGCUGAGACAGGUGCUGCAUGGCUGUCGUCAGCUCGUGUUGUGAAAUGUUGGGUUAAGUCCCGCAACGAGCGCAACCCUUAUCCUUUGUUGCCAGCGAUAAAGUCGGGAACUCAAAGGAGACUGCCGGUGAUAAACCGGAGGAAGGUGGGGAUGACGUCAAGUCAUCAU
rnacentral:rRNA from 1 species